GGUCGAUCUUCUGUGUCAGUAUUAACUUCGCUUUUCCUGUUGGAGUAGUUUGGUUUUAAGGCUACUGUGAGUGUUUGAUAAAGAAUCUGAGAAAGAAUCAUAAUAAGAGGAGCUGAAAUCAUCGUUUUUCGAGUACUGCAGAAACUGGGAAUGCUUCCUGGAGAACAAAAUUGGUAAAAGGGUUGUUUCAGAAAACUGCAAAGAUUUAGUUAAUGGUUGUAGAUCUGGUUGGUUAUGUUGCAGUAGAUACUUGUUUUCGGAGAAUCCUCUAGCAUAGAUUCUGAGACUGAUAAUAUUCCCCUCUUUAGAGUAUCUUGGGAAUCUCUGUGAAUGUGAAAAAUGAUUCUUGCUUUCAGUUUCUGAAAUUAAUGAGCUUUUAUUGAUUAGUGGCUUGGGUUUGUCUGAUUUUUGAAUCAGGUACUUGAAGCGAAAGACAAACUAGCUCGUUUAGCUCAAUAGAAUUUUGAUUCUAUUUGAAUUUGAAAAUAUUAUGGCUUGUUUUAUGCUGGUUCUUUGAGCUAAGCCUUGGGAGAGUUUGCAUGUUGUUGUGGCCUAUGUUUUUGGCGGGGAGAGCUGAGACUCUGUGCUUUGAAUGUACUUUUAGCAGAACUUGUGGUUAGGAGGGCAAAACAAUAUUCGACAUUUAUAUUCCAUUUUCGACAAUUUUCUGUUCCAAAGGUUCUGGCAAAUUGGGUUGGGUUGCCUUCCAAGAUUUUUCUUCCAUUUUGUGCUGAAUACCUUUUUUAUAUUUGUUAAUUGAGCUUCAAUGCAAACCAAUUUAAUUGCGAUAAGGUAAAGUCAUUAUCUUUGUUGUUCUCAAGAUACUGUGAAGAUUCUGGCAUUACUGGUUCUGGUUUCAGCUUUAUUAACAUGACCUACCUGCCUCUUAUACAAUCAAUGUUCUAUCGAAAAUUGUUAGAAUAUAUAGAUACUUCACUUAGUCAACAUUCGGAUGUGUUGGGAGGAGAUGCUCUAGGUAUUGUGUUUUUAUUAUCAGUCCACUUUUUAUCUGCAUGUGAUUCAAUUGAUUGGCGAUUUACUGAAUUUAGGCAUGUUUUAGCAUUAUUGAACAUAACUAACUAUGGUGUCUACCUUACCAUUUGUACGAUUUAGGCAAUUUUUGUGCUAUAUGAAGUCAAUACUGCUUAAGUUAGCCAAUAGAUGAUUGUCUGACAUAAUUUCCAUACAUGAUUUUAACUAUCUAAGUUAGGCAUCCCUCUGUUGUGGAGAGUAGUAGUUGUACCAACUCAGCAAGGUUGGUUUCUGCAUUGGAAUGGAAGCCAAUGCUGCUUGCGGUAUAGAUUUUUUUGAUGGUUUUCGUUCCCAUCUUCGCUGUUUGAUCAGUCUUAGAUUCCUUUGUGUGUGAUGAAUUAACAUUGGCAUGGUUCACAUUUUCUAGGACUUAUCAGUGUUGGGCACUGCCAAGUGCCAAUAGAAUCCUUAUAUAUUGGCAGGAUGACCUUUUCCAUAACAUCAUGGAAUGGAAUGAAGGUUGAUAAGAGUAUUCAGAUGAGUUGAUAUCUUUCCUCGGACUUCUGCUUAUGGUACACAGUUCUGCACAGAAAUCCUGCAAUCAAAUAGUUCACAUAUGACUUGCUUCAUUUGUUGGACAGGAUAGACAGCAGUCAACCUCAUCUUCAUAGAGGAUAACAACUGCAGUAGCAGGAGGUUUUUGAGGUGCACAUUGGUUUGUCAUAUGCAUGGUGCUUUCUUGAUCUGCAAUAAUAUAAGCGAUUUGAUGUAACUUGUUUUCAUGGUCUUGGUUAAUGUAUCUGUUCCUCUAUUUGCUUGCGAGACUGAUAUUGCAAUAAACCCGACUGGUCUUUGUUUUCUU